rnacentral:tRNA from 1 species
ACCUGAGUGGCUCAGUCGGUUGAGCGUCUGACUUUGGCUCAGGUCAUGAUCUCACAGUUGGUGGGUUUGAGCCCCUUGUUGGGUU